ACACGUGGUAUACCUCCCUACAUCAUAUUGCCAAACUCUGUUUUAUUUUUAAAGUUGCCACCUUAUCUUGUCUACGUGUACGUUUCGUAUUCCUCGCAGUCACACAGCUUCUGCUAGGCCGCCCCAUGGAACGACACCGCACAGAUCCAGCCCCGCAAUGUGCAAACUGCGCACGCUCUGCCUUCAGGAUAUAAGUGUCCCGCCGCCGGAUACACUUGGCUAUUACCUCACCAAAACCCGCGUUCUUCGUACUUCAAGCGACGACUUCCUCCUAGACGCUAGCGUGCCAGUGCAUGCCGCAAGUGACUAAAAAAAAUGGAACAGCCGAUGGUAUCGUCCAUUCCCAGUACUGUUACUCCUGCAGGCAAGGCCGCACCAGGCGUCUCUUCUACGGAUAAGACGAGGAUGCGAAUCCUGUACGAUGCGCUGAUGCCUCCUUGCCACAUCACAUUGCAAUGGCUGCAGACUUUUCUUGCGGUCAUGCUGCCUUCCUAUCCCCGUUCAUGGGUAAUCCUGUAGGGAGGCGUGUGACAGCUUCGUCUCCGAUGACCUCGUUUUUCCUGUGAAGUGGACCUGAAAUCCAACCACCAACGACAUCCAGAGAGUCUUGCGUACCUGCCAACUAGAAAAGACGAAAUUGAGCCAUUUUAGCAUGCAGCGAACAUGAUUGCUUUACCCUCACAGUGCAUUGGCUUCACUUCAGCAUUCCGCCUAUAAUCGUGUAUACACCAUAUAAAGAAAUAAAAGCGAUUGGACAGGGAAAA